UACGUAGGGUGCGAGCGUUGUCCGGAAUUAUUGGGCGUAAAGAGCUCGUAGGCGGUGUGUUACGUCGGCCGUGAAAACCUGCAGCUUAACUGUGGGCGUGCGGUCGAUACGGGCAUCACUGGAGUUCGGCAGGGGAGACUGGAAUUCCUGGUGUAGCGGUGAAAUGCGCAGAUAUCAGGAGGAACACCAGUGGCGAAGGCGGCGACCUGGGCCAAUACUGACGCUGAGGUGCGAAAGCGUGGGGAGCAAACAGG
rnacentral:rRNA from 1 species